CCUACGGGAGGCAGCAGUGGGGAAUAUUGGGCAAUGGGCGCAAGCCUGACCCAGCAACGCCGCGUGAAGGAAGAAGGCUUUCGGGUUGUAAACUUCCUUUCUCAGGGACGAAGCAAGCGACGGUACCUGAGGAAUAAGUCACGGCUAACUACGUGCCAGCAGCCGCGGGAAUACGUAGGUGGCAAGCGUUAUCCGGAUGUACUGGGUGUAAAGGGCGUGUAGGCGGGGACGCAAGUCAGAUGUGAAAACCACGGGCUCAACCUGUGGCCUGCAUUUGAAACUGUGUUUCUUGAGUACUGGAGAGGCAGACGGAAUUCCUGGUGUAGCGGUGAAAUGCGUAGAUAUUGGGAAGAACACCGGUGGCGAAGGCAGUCUGCUGGACAGAGACUGACGCUGAGGCGCGAAAGCGUGGGGAGCGAACAGGAUUAGAUACCCUGGUAGUC
rnacentral:rRNA from 1 species